GAGAGGCUCUGGGAGUCGGUCUUCCCCUUCCGGGUGCACACCCGAGCCACUCGGCGCAAUAUCUAGACCCGCCCCUGACCCCAGCUAGUUGCAGCUUUGAAGAAAAUGGAGAACCUAGAGCGAGAACCUGACAGAGACUAAGGCCAAAGCAAACAGGAAGAUGAGGUGUUGGAGCAACCGAGCGGAUAGUCACUAGUGUUCUCCAAACAAGGGGAUGAGGGUGACAAGUCUGGACCGAGGCUGCUUCGCUAGCUGUGUGUGCUUCAACCCUAUCCCUGUUGUCUCUGGUGGAGUUUUCUGCCAUCUGGAUUACUCCGUGUCUGUGUCCUCUUCCCUGGAGCUGAAGAUCUUGGUCCUGGAUAUCGCCGUACCUAUGCUGCCCGGCCUUCAGGUUCUUGUUGUAGUUCAAUUCCUUGAAGGAAAGCCUUAUACCAUAUGGUGAUGGUGGUAUCCUAUCCCAUGCUGUUGCUCAUGUUGCUUCUACAAUCAAGGUGUGUUAGUGCAAGUAACUUUUUACAACUCAAAAAGAAAUUACUCAUGUCACAAUUGUUUAUGGGCUCCUUACCCUCCCCUAAGAUUGGAGCUGAUGUACCUGAUGCUAGGGCCAGCUGUAUGCAAUAUUCUUACUUAUAAUCAAAUACCUUCUGCAAUGGCAAUUCCUCUAGGGAAAAUCUUUCAUUAUAUUCUCCUAUUGUUAUAAAUAAGAUUAUCACUUGUCAUA